AGAAAUGACAUUUUUUAUGAUACGACAAGCAGUUGGAUCACUGACUGAUGUAUCAUAGUUCUUCCAUGUAACUUACAGGAUAGAAGGUGAGAAUGUGAAAUGUGAUCCACAUAUGGUAUGCAGCAGAAGGAGAGCUGACUUAACCUAGAAGACACAAACUGAGAAGAAUCAAUUAAAGAUGCAAGACCCAAAUACCAGCAGUAGUAUAACAAUUAUCCCUACUGUGAGAAGACACUUCCAUCAUAAGAAGCCUGAAAACCAAUUGCAUUUACCCAGAGAGCCGAGCAAAGCCUCAAUCUGUCAGCAAGGACAAGGAAAAUGAUGUGCUACAGGAGGUGGUCACAGAGCAACUCCAACCUGCCUUGGGUAACCAGCAAAUGUGUUUCCAUUGCUAAUAAAAAGAAACUAUUUUUCUCAAAUUAAAGAAGGUGUAUAAUCAAUA